AAUGGGCGCAAGCCUGACCCAGCGACGCCGCGUGGGGGAUGAAGGCCUUCGGGUUGUAAACCCCUGUCAGGUGGGAAGAACUCUUCCGGGUGAAUAGCCCGGAAGUCUUGACUGUACCACCAAAGGAAGCCCCGGCUAACUCCGUGCCAGCAGCCGCGGUAAUACGGAGGGGGCAAGCGUUAUUCGGAAUUACUGGGCGUAAAGCGCACGUAGGCGGCAGGGCAAGUCAAAGGUGAAAGCCCUCGGCUCAACCGAGGAACUGCCUUUGAAACUGCCUUGCUUGAGUCCGGGAGGGGGGAGCGGAAUUCCCAGUGUAGCGGUGAAAUGCGUAGAUACUGGGAGGAACACCGGUGGCGAAGGCGGCUCCCUGGACCGGUACUGACGCUGAGGUGAGAAA
rnacentral:rRNA from 1 species